CACGUAGGGUGCGAGCGUUGUCCGGAAUUAUUGGGCGUAAAGAGCUCGUAGGCGGUGUGUCGCGUCGGCCGUGAAAACCUGCAGCUUAACUGUGGGCUUGCGGUCGAUACGGGCAUCACUGGAGUUCGGCAGGGGAGACUGGAAUUCCUGGUGUAGCGGUGAAAUGCGCAGAUAUCAGGAGGAACACCGGUGGCGAAGGCGGGUCUCUGGGGCCGAUACUGACGCUGAGGAGCGAAAGCGUGGGGGAGCGAACAGG
rnacentral:rRNA from 1 species